AGCGAACGCUGGCGAUAGGCCUAACACAUGCAAGUCGAACGGCAGCACCGUAAGAGCUUGCUCUUACGGGUGGCGAGUGGCGGACGGGUGCGUAAUACAUCGGAAUCUACUUUUUCGUGGGGGAUAAUGUCGGGAAACUUACGCUAAUACCGCAUACGACCUACGUGUGAAAGCAGGCGAUCUUCGGACCUUGCGCGAUUGUAUGAGCCGAUGUCGGCGUAGUUAGUUGGCGGGGUAGAGGCCCACCAAGGCGACGAUCCGUAUCUGGUAUGAGAGGAAGUAUACACAGAUGGUAAGUGAGACACAGUAGAGACUCUGACAGGGGGAAGCAGUGGAGAAUAUUGGACGAAGGGCGCAAGCCGGAUCCAGCCAUACCGCGUAGGGGAAGAAGGACUUCGGGUGGGUAAGCCCUGUUGUUGGGAAAGAAAAGCAGCAGGUUAAUACCCCGCUGUACUGACGGUACCCAAAGAAUAAGCACCGGCUAACUUCGUG
rnacentral:rRNA from 1 species